rnacentral:rRNA from 1 species
CAGUCGCCGCGGGAAUACGAAGGGGGCUAGCGUUGUUCGGAUUUACUGGGCGUAAAGGGUGCGUAGGCGGAUUGUUAAGUCAGGGGUGAAAUCCCGAGGCUCAACCUCGGAACUGCCUUUGAUACUGGCGAUCUUGAGUCCGGGAGAGGUGAGUGGAACUGCGAGUGUAGAGGUGAAAUUCGUAGAUAUUCGCAAGAACACCGGUGGCGAAGGCGGCUCACUGGCCCGGUACUGACGCUGAGGCACGAAAGCGUGGGGAGCAAACAGGAUUAGAUACCCCAGUAGUCCCUGUCUCUUAUAC